rnacentral:rRNA from 1 species
GGGGGAUGCAAGCGUUAUCCGGAAUCAUUGGGCGUAAAGCGCCUGUAGGUUGUUUAGUAAGUCUGUUGUUAAAGACCAGGGCUUAACCCUGGGAAAGCAAUGGAAACUACUAGACUUGAGUAUGGCAGGGGUAGAGGGAAUUUCUAGUGUAGCGGUGAAAUGCGUAGAUAUUAGAAAGAACACCGGCGGCGAAAGCGCUCUACUGGACCAUUACUGACACUCAGAGGCGAAAGCUAGGGGAGCAAAAGGGAUUAGAUACCCCUGUAGUCCUAGCCGUAAACGAUGGAUACUAGAUGUUGCGCAAUUUGUGCAGUAUCUUAGCUAACGCGUUAAGUAUCCCGCCUGGGGAGUACGCUCGCAAGGGUGAAACUCAAAGGAAUUGACGGGGGCCCGCACAAGCGGUGGAGCAUGUGGUUUAAUUCGAUGCAACGCGAAGAACCUUACCAGGGCUUGACAUACUACAAAUCUUUUCGAAACGAAAGAGUGCCUUCGGGAAUGUAGAUACAGGUGGUGCAUGGCUGUCGUCAGCUCGUGUCGUGAGAUGUUGGGUUAAGUCCCGCAACGAGCGCAACCCUCAUUUUUAGUUGCCAAUUUAUUGGGAUUUCUAGAGAGACUGCCGGUGACAAACCGGAGGAAGGUGAGGAUGACGUCAAGUCAGCAUGCCCCUUAUGCCCUGGGCCACACACGUGCUACAAUGGCGAAGACAAAGAGUCGCAAACCUGCGAAGGCUAGCUAAUCUCG